CAGUCUGCAACUCGAGUGCAUGAAGCUGGAAUCGCUAGUAAUCGCGGAUCAGAAUGCCGCGGUGAAUACGUUCCCGGGUCUUGUACACACCGCCCGUCACACCAUGGGAGUCGGGAAUGCCCGAAGCCGGUGGCCCAAUCGAAAGAAGGGAGCCGUCGAAGGCAGGCCGGAUGACUGGGGUGAAGUCGUAACAAGGUAUC
rnacentral:rRNA from 1 species